rnacentral:misc_RNA from 1 species
AACGCAAAUUGCACUUCCUGGUAUUCCGGGGAGUAUGCCUGUUUGAGGGUCGUUUUAAAUUAAAUCGGUGCGUUGCUUUUUUUGGUGACGCGUCGGGGUUGGGUUAUCUUAGCUCCUUGGUUAAGAGACCUAAAAUUUGACUCUUUUUGCGCAUUCUAGACGUGUAAAUUUUUUUUCAGUCUCGCUAUGCUCAAGACCAUUCUUCAUUAGGUGCGGUCAUGUUCAAUAUGAUCUCGUGCCUAUGAUUUUCGUUUUUCGACCUCAAAUCAGGUAGGGACACCCGCUGAACUUAA